UCAGACAAUCUUUGCACUCAGAGUUCCAAGUAGGUUUGGGUGCCAUGUGGAAGUGUGUGGUGUCUCUAAACUUCAUGGAACACCCCUCUUUCCAAAAUCUGAGAAAGUCUCUGUCUGACAGGUAAAGAGAGAACCUCAAGUGCUGCUCAGCCAUGACCAUGUAACAAUUGGACAUCCCGGGACACUUUUCUGGCCCAGACCUCACCAAUUCAUCUCUUCUAUAGAUGACACAAUGCUCUAAGAGGAAUUGACAUGAGCAUGUGUACCUUUUAAAAUCUCAUUGACAACUAGAUAUUAUCAAAUGUCAGCAAAACUGCCUGCUUCCUCAGGUGCUAAACAACUGAUGUUUGGAUGGGAAUCUUCACAUGUUCACCUUUUGCAACUGGGUACCAUAUGUGGCUUUCAGGACGGAUGAUUCCUUGAGUACCAAGUAAAGGGAACUAGAAGAUCCUCAUCUAUAUCUGGAAAACAGAUAGAUUUGGGAAUAUAAAGAGGUCUGUGAGCCACGUGAUUUCUUACUUUUAGAAAUUCAUCUCUUUAACUUGGAUGAUUCUGUUCAGAAAUCCAUUCAAUUCAUUAAGCCCAAGUAGAAAUUGAUGAAGAAGGAAUAUGAAACUGACAAGAUCAUGAUGUUUCCUUAAGAGUUUAAACUAUUGGUACAAGUGUUGCUUGAGAAGAAUGUGCUUAGCCAUGAAAUAUUGAAGAGGAAAUUGGAAUUAUUAGGAAGGUCAUAUAUAAAUAAAUCUAAAAGAAUUUUACCUUGAA